rnacentral:rRNA from 1 species
UACAGAGGGUGCAAACGUUGUUCGGAAUUACUGGGCGUAAAGCGCGUGUAGGCUGCUCUGCAAGUCGGGUGUGAAAGCCCUGGGCUCAACCUAGGAAGUGCACUCGAAACUGCAAAGCUGGAGUCCUGGAGAGGAAGGCGGAAUUCUCGGUGUAGAGGUGAAAUUCGUAGAUAUCUGGAGGAACACCGGUGGCGAAGGCGGCAUCCUGGACCGAUAUUGACGCUGACGCGCGAAAGCCAGGGGAGCAAACGGG